AACGAACGCUGGCGGCAGGCUUAACACAUGCAAGUCGAACGCAUCCUUCGGGGUGAGUGGCAGACGGGUGAGUAACGCGUGGGAACGUGCCCUUCAGUUCGGGAUAACCCAGGGAAACUUGGGCUAAUACCGGAUACGUGCGAGAGCAGAAAGAUUUAUCGCUGAAGGAUCGGCCCGCGUCUGAUUAGCUAGUUGGUGGGGUAAUGGCCCACCAAGGCGACGAUCAGUAGCUGGUCUGAGAGGAUGAUCAGCCACAUUGGGACUGAGACACGGCCCAAACUCCUACGGGAGGCAGCAGUGGGGAAUAUUGGACAACGGGCGCAAGCCUGAUCCAGCCAUGCCGCGUGAGUGAUGAAGGCCUUAGGGUUGUAGAGCUCUUUCGUCCGGGACGAUAAUGACGGUACCGGAAGAAGAAGCCCCGGCUAACUUCGUGCCAGCAGCCGCGGUAA
rnacentral:rRNA from 1 species